CCAUCUGGGCAGAGGGAUCCUCCUCCCAUCGAGGCUGCAUCUGUUACAGGAAAAUAUCAGUUGGUGUCAGUGCCACUCAGGAUCAGACUGAGACAAGCAGUGCUCUGCUACGUCAGUGCUCUUCAGAGGUUUUCCACAUUUGGAUGCAGCGUGGAUCUGGGAUAAAUUGCUCUUCUCCAUCUUCUUUUUGUGCCCCUGCAAUAGAAAACAGAAAGCAUCAGCUUGCAAUAAAUUCACAGAUGUGUUAAGUAACACACAAUGGAGAUCCUUUCAGCAACCUGUCAGAAGGAGAAGACUACACUGGGAAUAGGAAAGGACUGUCUGCCUCUGCUGAAUUUGGCAGAUUGGAUGUUACAGCUGCUCCCCAAUCUAUCACAACCUCAUUUAUCUGCUUCGGCCCCAUCCUCUAUCCUGCCUCUGCAGCAGGCAGUGGUUGUGCAAAGGCACGUGGAAGGAUAAGGGGCUUCAGCCCCUCCAGGAGUGCUGGAGCUGCAAGAACAACACCAGUGCUGAGCAAAGUUUCUGAGAGUUUGAGGAUUUUGGCAGGUAUUGUAACAAAGAGAAGAGAAGCUUUCAGCUCAUGCAGGGACCAUUUUCUUAACCACAAAUAAAUCAGAUAUUUGGCAGAUUCUGGGUUGCCACCCUCCAGAAAGAACAACAUCUGACUGGCUGUGUCAGGAUCAAGUGCAGUGGACAAAGGGAAGAAAAAGGACAUAGCUAUGGUUCCAAGCCUGCAGGAAGCAUUUUUGUGCCAUGCUGAAGACUUGGGCUGGUGUGCCCUCAGCAGAGCUAUUCAGAGAUAUGUUUUUCAUGGCCAGAGAUCAUUUUCUUCUGAAUAGGAAAGCCCAGAGAUGAAAAGGUCUUUAUUUACAAGUGUUGGAGCAGAGAGGUUGCGAACUGCCUCCCUGAGCCAGCAAAGAUUCCACUCUUGGGGUGGGAGCUGAGUGGGAUGUCAGCAAUACUGGGUAUGCUCCUGAGAAUGAACCACUGCACUUUAUCCCUGACGAUUCUGGCCCCUUUUGCUCUGUCACUGGCAGCCUGUGAAUUAUGACUGCAUAAACCCAUAGGAAUAACAGAAAUGUAGUUGAAUCCUACUUUUCAUUUAUCCCACACGUGCCUGACGUUUAACCAUCUCUUGAAAUGAGUUUUCAGGGUAGCCCACGGAACUUGGAAAGUUGUGGGGCACACAUGAGAUGGUCAGGGAGAGGAGUGCAGCAACACCAACUUCCUUUGCACAAGCAGCAAUAAGACCCUGUGAGUACUUCCAGCUGUCCAGGCUGGCAAAACCCAGAAGCACCCACUGAUUCUGUUUUGGGACAUUUAACCAGGAGCCAUGUUUUUAAAGCUUUCUCUCUGAAGGAAAAAAAAAAUAUCUGAAAGAUUCCUUAAACAAGUGAAACUCCAUUAAUGGGAGCCUUCCUCCAGUUAGUCCUACACACUGGGACAAGCGUGUCUAGCUGGGAGUCUUGCCACUUCACUCCCUUCCAUGUAGAAAUAAGGGAAAGGUUGAGAACUGAGGUUGUGAAUCCCUGCUGUACCCCUGUAAAGUAAUAAUAGCAGCAUCAGUAAUAGCUCUUAAAUCAGGAGGACUUGCUGCAGCCUACUCCCACGAGGCUUGCAUGACAGUGUUUAGCAUUGAAGGGAAUGACAUGUUCCCAGCAAGAACAUUCUCAUUUGCAUUAUGGCAGGACAUGGAGAGCAGAGUUGGACUUGAAGUGUUGAGCAAACCUGAUGUGACAACAUGGUCCUUGUUUCUAUAGUGUGCUUAGACUAAGCUAGCCCUUUUCAGACCCUGCUCCAAGUGAAAGCUGUGUGAAACUGCACACGCAACAUUGCAGCAAGGAAGGGAAGUAUAAAAGCAUGAGAGAAAAGGAGGCAAAAAAAAAAAACAUUUGAACCAUCAUUGACUCCAGAAUUCCUGUAAGCCCUCAGCUUCCCUCAUUUGUUUCUAAUGAAAUUUUAGGCUAUUCUGUUAAUUGCCAGGACACAUAAUGAACUCUUGUAUGAUUAAUGCCAUUGCUUUCUAUUAAAAAUAAAAAAUCCAAAUCAGGUUGAAAAUUUGGGUUUCUGUGUAAACUUUGUUAGUGAUGAGUAUCUUGUUAAGAUGCAGACAAGAAAUAAGCUGACAUGUGUUCCGUUAGCCAAUGUGUGAAUGCAGAGCCCAAAGGACACAUAAUGAACUCUUGUAUGAGUAAUGUCAUUGCUUUCUAUUAAAAAUAAAAAAUCCAAAUCAGGUUGAAAAUUUGGGGUUCUGUGUAAACUUUGUUAGUGAUUAAUACCUUAUGCAGGUAAAAAAUAAGCUGACAUGCGUUGCGUUAACUGCCAUGCAAGUGCAGAGCCCAAAAGACACAUAAUGAACUCUUGUAUGAUUAAUGUAAUUGCUUCCUCUUAAAAAUAAAAAUCCAAAUCAGGUUGAAAA